rnacentral:tRNA from 1 species
GGGAGAUUUCCCGAGUGGCCAAAGGGGACAGACUGUAAAUCUGCUGUCAUCGACUUCGGUGGUUCGAAUCCACCAUCUCCCACCA